GGAGGGAGGUAGCGGCUUCCGGGCUUGCUUGGGCUGGGGCGUAUACUAGCUAGAGGGAUUCCUGAGCCAGCUGUUUUGUCUGUGAGUGCCACCCGGAGCAUUCGGGGAAGCAUCCAUUCCUUGGUACAGGGCUCAAAUUCUCGUUGCCGGUCUUUCGUACACGAUUAGUGGACUGUUAGUUUUACACUUCUUUUGUAAGGUUCAAAGCCUUUUUAAGACCACUCAUGGCCGACCCAUGCAUGGACCAGAACGGCUCUAGGUGGCAAGCUCCCUGACUAAGUACUGCAGCUCUUCUUCCAAUAUCGAGCCCUGUCCCACUGGUCCUGCCCAGCAGCCACAUGGAGGUGAACAAGGACAUAGUCUGGAUAUUUGUUCAUUGAAACACUAGAAGUUUUGUGCCUCUUGUCACAGUGAACCCAGAUUCCUGUCUGGUGGGCUAUAAACAGAUGAGCCAUUUAUUUAGGCCCUCUGCUCUACGUGCAACCCAAUCCGUGACAAAUUCUUACCAAGUGACCUCUCAAGCCUACGAAACUGUCCCUCUGGAACUAUUAUAGACCCUCAAAUUAUAACCUAGUUCCAGCAGGAAAAUAAGCCCUGGUUGGUGCACCCCUCUGUCUGCACCAAUGCCACUUUUUGGUCUUUUAAAUGUUUGCCCCUUGGAUUGGAGGAUGGGGUGGGAAGUAUAUGGUUGUUUACCAGUUGUUCAUUAUAUAUGUUAAGCAGACUUUC